GAGGGUACAGCUCAGUGACAGAGCUCAUGCUUAGCAUGCAUGAGGUCCUGGAUUCAAUCCCUAGUACCUCCA
rnacentral:tRNA from 1 species